CUGGGUAAUGCCACGGGGCGUUUAUUGAGGUGCUCCCGUGUGGGCCAGGGCCGGGACUGCAGCCCUGCUGCCGCUCUGGAGAGGCUGGUGAGAGUGUGCGGCCCGGGGCGCUGUCCUGCUGGGGAGUGGGGGCCUCCCGGGGGCGUCUGCGGAGCCCAGGGGUCCCGUGGCAAAGAGGUCCGGAAGGACCGGGUUCCAGGAGUCCGGGGGUCCCGUGGCUCGGGAGUGGAGGGCGCUCCAGAGGGGCGGGGGGCACAGAGGGCCCCGCAGAGCAGCAGCCCGGUGCCGGGAGUCCGGGGGGUCCCGGCGGUCCCCGGUCCGCAGCAAAGGGGUGGGCGCCGCGUCACGGCGGUACCACGGCACCCAGGCGCAGCUCCUCCCCUUCCAGCAUCUCCCGAUACGCGGCGAUCUCCGCGUCCAGCGCCAUCCGCAGCCGCAGCAGCGCGGGGUAUUCCCGCAGGCACCGCGCCAUCUCCUGCUCCGCUUCGCCGAUCUGCCGCUCCAGCUCCGCCACCCGCUCCUGGUACUUGGCGAGCUCCCCGCUGCGCCGGUCGCGGAGCCCCUCCAGCUGCCGAUGCAGCGCUCCCACGGCCCCGCGCAGCGCCUCCACCUCCGCGGCGCGGGCGCGGAGCAGCCGCCGGUACCCCGCAGCCUCCGCGCGGGCGCGGAGCACGGCCUCGCCGCUCCGGGAGCGGGGAGAGCAGCGGGGCCCGGACCAGCCCAGCGCGCAGCCCCCCGGGCCGUCCUCCCCCCCGCCGGGGCCGCCCGCGCUCAUCCCGGCGGCUCUGCGGCGGCG
rnacentral:lncRNA from 1 species